UGGUCGGGGAUAACAGUUGGAAACGACUGCUAACACCGGAUGAGUCGAGAGAUAAAAAAUUUAUUGCCAACAGAGGAGCUCGCGCCUGAUUAGCUAGAUGGUGGGGUAAAAGCCUACCAUGGCGACGAUCAGUAGCUGGUCUGAGAGGAUGAGCAGCCACACUGGGACUGAGACACGGCCCAGACUCCUACGGGAGGCAGCAGUGGGGAAUUUUCCGCAAUGGGCGAAAGCCUGACGGAGCAAUACCGCGUGAGGGAGGAAGGCUUUUGGGUCGUAAACCUCAAAACUUAGGGAAGAAGAAAGUGACGGUACCUAAUAUAAGCAUCGGCUAACUCCGUGCCAGCAGCCGCGGUAAUACGGAGGAUGCGAGCGUUAUCCGGAAUCAUUGGGCGUAAAGAGUCUGUAGGUGGCACUUCAAGUCUGCUGUCAAAGACCGAAGCUUAACUUCGGGAAGGCGGUGGAAACUGAAGAGCUAGAGGUAAGCAGGGGUAGAGGGAAUUCCCAGUGUAGCGGUGAAAUGCGUAGAGAGUUGGGAAGAACACCAGUGGCGAAGGCCGCCUCUACUGGGCUUAACUGACACUCAGAGACCGAAAG
rnacentral:rRNA from 1 species